UACGAAGGGGGCUAGCGUUGCUCGGAAUCACUGGGCGUAAAGCGCACGUAGGCGGCUCAUGAAGGCUGUCGUGAAAGCCCUGGGCUCAACCUGGGAAUGGCGAUGGAUACUGGGAGGCUAGAGUGUGAUAGAGGAUGGUGGAAUUCCCGGUGUAGCGGUGAAAUGCGUAGAGAUCGGGAGGAACACCAGUGGCGAAGGCGGCCAUCUGGAUCAACACUGACGCUGAGGCACGAAAGCGUGGGGAGCAAACAGG
rnacentral:rRNA from 1 species